ACCUGACUCCCCUGUUAAAUCUAUCUCCUUCCCAAAAUGAAGUUUCUCCCAAAUCUGUGAAGAACCCUAAUUUAACCUCGACAACCAUCUUCUCCAAGUCGAUUUCUCCUGAGUCUCACACGAAGAUUUAGAAAAUCCACCCCAUCACUUUUGAUCGAUGUGGAUCUUCCAAACUAGAUAAGUACUCGAAUUCUUAUCUUGGAUGAUUCGAUACUGGAAAUCUAGUAGGUUGUAAAUUGGUUGACACAUCAUUAGAAGUGACGUUCGGUUGUGUAAAUGUUCUUCAUUUUAUAUUACCUUUGAAGAAGAAGUGGAUUAUAUAUGAUACAAAUCUGAAUUUUUGGUGGCUGCAAUAGUGUAUUUUAAAAUAUCAUUUUGUAUUUUGUAGUAAGCAUACUUUAAUGACAGGAAGGAAUAAGGGGAUUUAUCAAAUGCUACGUCCGAUGAUGAGCUAGAGUUAUCAAGUUUGUUGAAGAGCGUUGCUAAAAUAACUGAAGAAAAGGAUGUGGACAUUUCAGUCAAAUUUACUUUCCGCAAGGGAAAAGGAGAAGCAAGUAGAAAACAAGGAACCAAAUGGAGGAGCUUUGUGAACUUGAACCGUUUAUGUUUCAAUUUGUGUUUAGGCUAGAAAAUUAGGAAUUAGGUGAAUCCCAGGAAUUUCAAUUUCUUGUAUGUAAUUUGAAGUCUAUAGUGUCAAUCUCCAAUUAAACGACUAUGUUAUUUUAUAUGAAUGUGAGUUUCCAUUAAUCUCUA